rnacentral:rRNA from 1 species
CACGUAGGGGGCGAGCGUUGUCCGGAUUUAUUGGGCGUAAAGAGCUCGUAGGCGGUUUCGUAAGUCGGAUGUGAAAACUCCAGGCUCAACUUGGAGACGCCAUUCGAUACUGCGAUGACUUGAGUCCGGUAGGGGAGUGUGGAAUUCCUGGUGUAGCGGUGAAAUGCGCAGAUAUCAGGAGGAACACCGAUGGCGAAGGCAGGUCUCUGGGCCACUACUGACGCUGAGAAGCGAAAGCAUGGGGAGCGAACAGG